rnacentral:rRNA from 1 species
UGACCUCGGAUCAGGUAGGAAUACCCGCUGAACUUAAGCAUAUCAAUAAGCGGAGGAAACAUAUCAAUAAGCGGA